rnacentral:piRNA from 1 species
UGAUAUGGCCCAAUUGUGAUCGGAGUCAC